rnacentral:rRNA from 1 species
GAGUGGCGAACGGGUGAGUAAUACAUCGGAACGUGUCCUGUAGUGGGGGAUAGCCCGGCGAAAGCCGGAUUAGUACCGCAUACGAUCUACGGAAGAAAGCGGGGGAUCCUUCGGGACCUCGCGCUAUAGGGGCGGCCGAUGGCAGAUUAGCUAGUUGGUGGGGUAAAGGCCUACCAAGGCGACGAUCUGUAGCUGGUCUGAGAGGACGACCAGCCACACUGGGACUGAGACACGGCCCAGACUCCUACGGGAGGCAGCAGUGGGGAAUUUUGGACAAUGGGGAAACCCUGAUCCAGCAAUGCCGCGUGUGUGAAGAAGGCCUUCGGGUUGUAAAGCACUUGUGUCCGGAAAGAAAACUUCUGCCC